UAUAAUAGCUAGGAACAAUUGCUUAUAUACUCCUGAAAAUUUUUUGACUUUUUGAUUUAUCCCUUUAAGAAGAUUAAUAUUAAAAACACAUUUUUUACAUUCUAAGUUAUUUCAAAUAUACUCUUAUAGUUAAAUUCUUUAGUGAACUAUUAGCAAUAUUCGUUAUUUACGUAAAAUUACUAUUUUGCCCUUUUAAAUAUAUUCUUCUACCAUCACUAAUUUUUCUUAUUUACCCUUAAGUUAGGGAGCAAAAGAAAUAUUUUGAUUUUUUAUCUUUUCAAAUAUAUCCUUCCCUCAUUCCCAACUUUUCUUAUUUGCGAUUAAAUUAAAGACAAAAGAGAUAUUUUGAUUUUAAUUCUGAUAGAUAUUUAACUUACGUUUAACCUUAGAUAACUUAGUGGGUGAUAACUGCGGAAGUAUUUUUAAAUAGCGGAGGAACAUAUGAGAGUUAUAUUAAAAACAAAAAUGAAAUAGAAAUAAAUUAGAUAUUUUUGAAGUUUUGAGAGAUAUAUAAAUAAUUAUCCUUAAUAGUUAUUUAACUCUAUACUAAAGUUGAAACCAAAUGCCGUUCCUCUAUCGAGCCACGUGGCUUUUUUUUUAUAUGAGUUUUCUCUCUCUCCCUCGCAUGCUCUCCCUCCCUCACAUGGACUCACAUGGGCUAUGUUAAAUGGGCAUGUACUAUACAAAAUUUUGUUUCAUGCACCCUCUGUAUCAUGUUAAACAAUAAUGAUUUUAAAGGAAAGAGGCUAUGUUAAAGGGGCUUGUACUAUGAAAAAUUUUGUUCCAUGCACCCUCUGUAUCAUGUUAAACAAUAAUGAUUUUAAAGGCAAGCUUAGUUAAAAUCAACCAGAAGAAUAUCAUCUUAAUUUUACAGUUCUGGACCUUUUCUUUGUCGCCGAAAGGUCUACCAAUUAAAAUCUUUAUCAGAUUGCUACUAUUUUCCGUCCUCACUUUUGGAGUGUUAGAAUGACACGAAAUUUUAAAUCUAGCCUAAGAAAAAUAACUUCGGCAUAUAUUCAAAGUUUAAUAUUUUUUUUGCACUGUGCAUUUUCUUCUAAAAAAAAACUAUAUUCCUUACAGAAAAUUCUAAAUCUCCUGUUUUCAUUCCAAUUUCACCAUGAAUUAUUUGUAAAUUGUCUUUUACUUUUUUAAGUCCAAUAGAAAUAGUAUCCACCCACAAGAUAACUUUUUUUCGUACAAAAUUUUUCAUACUACAUACAUAGGGUGCAUGAAACAAAAAAAUUCAUAGUACAUAGAAUAUUGUCUUGUCCUUUUGCUAUCUUUCUAGUCAUGA
rnacentral:lncRNA from 1 species